CGUAGGUAGAAGAGCACCGAACUAGGAUUAUCUGGGUGGAAAACGCCCGUAGGUAGAAGAGCACCGAACAAGGAUUAUCUGGGUGGAAAACGCCCGUAGGUAGAAGAAUACCGAACAAGGAUUAUCUGGGUGGAAAACGCCCGUAGGUAGAAGAAUACCGAACAAGGAUUAUCUGGGUGGAAAACGCCCGUAGGUAGAAGAGCGCCGAACAAGGAUUAUCUGGGUGGAAAACGCCCGUAGGUAGAAGAAUACCGAACAAGGAUUAUCUGGUGGAAAACGCCCGUAGGUAGAAGAAUACCGAACAAGGAUUAUCUGGUGGAAAACGCCCGUAGGUAGAAGAAUACCGAACAAGGAUUAUCUGGGUGGAAAACGCCCGUAGGUAGAAGAGCGCCGAACAAGGAUUAUCUGGGUGGAAAACGCCCGUAGGUAGAAGAGCGCCGAACAAGGAUUAUCUGGGUGGAAAACGCUGACCUGCGAGUUGGGGAUCUUUGUGUGUGAGGAUGUCAGUGUUUUCGCCUCGCUGACCGCGAUGUGCUUCUCUAGGUAGCCCCGGGGCAGCGUUCCUACUCUCUGAAAUCGCCGCCUCCUCUUCCCCUGUCCCUCCCCCUCCCCCUAUCCUUCCUCCUCUCCCCCUAUCCCUCCCCCCAUCUCAUUUAGUCCCACCAACCACCAGCUGCUCCAUGGAUCCCCUGUGUCCGAGUAAUGGUGUGAGCCGGACACAGGCCCGCACCUCCGGCCAACUGUAGCCCCCCACCCCAGCCCUCCUUGGUCCCAUUACUUUUAUAUUUUUUGUACUGGCAUAUUUUUUCUCACUAUCCCUGGAGUUUAUUCUUGUUUGGAACCAGGGAUGGAUGUACCAUCGGAGGCCAGCAAGCAUGGCAAGAAGACGACCAGUCAAAAGCUGGAAGACCAGAAGAAGGUUCCAGAGGAAACAAACUCUGUGAUUGCUGAUGACCUGUCCUUCCCGCCAUCCUGCUGACCAGAUGCAGCAGGAAACCGACCACAGAGCCCAAGUCACCGGGAAGUAAAAUAAAGUACUAACUGAAGCAUUUGUUUGUCUUUGAUAUGCCUGUGACGAAUGCAGAUUAUGAGCUUAGCGGAAAAGGCUGAUUUUAGUUGUGAAUAAAAACACCUGUGUUGGGAACAUGGCAAAGUUAUAUGUCACUGAAGUGAGAGGCAGAGAGUUGACAAGCAGGUGGGAUGAAGUUAUUAACCGCUAUGGUUCAUACACCAGAUGGGAUGAGGUUAGCCCACCAGAUGGUAUGAGGUUAUUAACCCUAUAGUUCAUACACCAGAUGGGAUGAGGUUAACCCUAUAGUUCAUACACCAGAUGGGAUGAGGUUAGCCCUAUAGUUCAUACACCAGAUGGGAUGAGGUUAGCCCUUUAGUUCAUAUACAGUACCA
rnacentral:lncRNA from 8 species